rnacentral:tRNA from 1 species
UCCUAGGUGGCUAAGUAGUAAAGAAUCUGCCUGCAAUACAGGAGACUCGGGUUCAAUCCCUGGAUCAGGAA